ACAAGCCAAGAGACACCAAGGUGGCCAGCAGCCCAUGUGAAGCUGGAGGAGAGGCCUCGAAACAAUGCUCCCUCACAGCGUUCAGGGGGAACUGACCCUGUCCACACCUUGACCUUGAACUUCUGGGCUCCAGAACUGUGAGACAGUACGUUUCUGUUGUUGAAGGUACCUGGUCUGGGGUGCGUGGUACUUUGCAGCCAGAGUGAAUAAAUCUGGUGACACUGACCUGUGCACUGUAUGUCUUGUCUGUAGCUUGCUGGAGCAGCGUGGCUAGAGGAAUUCCUGCAGCUUAGAUUUCGCUGGCACCGUUACCACUCCCAGAGAGGAGCGGCUGGAGUUCACGGCUGGUUCCCGACAAACUUCCUAAUUAAUCUGCUAAAGAUCAGAGGAGGACUAAUAGGAGCUGAAGACUGUGUGCGAGACCACCCCUCCGCCCUCUCCCUUUGUGUGUGCAUGUGUGUGUGUGCGCGCGCGCGCAUGUGGUGCUGAGCUUGGCAGGAGAGAGAGGGCCUCACCAGCGACAAAGCAUUCCUGCUGCUGUUGCUGCCACCUACCUUCCCUGCUUUGGGAGGAUACAUUUUCUCCUCUUGCUUAGAAGUUUAAGGGAGUCACCCAAGCCUUCUCCCAGAUACAACAGUGGAAUAAAAUAUCUUCCAACCAACUUUUUUUUUUUUUUUUUUUUUUUUUUUUUUUGAGACGGAAUCUCACUCUGUCACCCGGUUGGAGCACAGCAGCGUGAUCAUGGCUCACUGCAACCUCUGCCUCCCGGUUUCAAGUGAUUCUCCUGCCUCAGCCUCCCGAGUAGCUGGGAUUACAGGCGUGUGCCACCCACCACGCCCGGGUAAUUUUUGUAUUUUUAGUAGAGACAGGGUUUCACUAUGUGGGCCGGGCUGGUCUCAAACUCCUGACCUCUGGUGAUCUGCCCACUUCGGGCUCUCAAAGUGCUGGGAUUACAGGCAUGAGCCCCUGCACGCGGCUGCAACCAACUUUUUUGUGGAAUACAGGAUCUUGAUGUUUGGGUGCCUGAAGGCAGAAGCUGUUGCACAUGGAAUGGAUUAAAGUUUUCCCCUCUGCAACCAAAAAUCCUUGGGGUCCCAGGAGCAAAAGAUGCUCCAGGACACAGGACAAUUCAAGGAGGCCCGAGGUGAUAUUGAAGACUGCAGAGACGUCCAGCUCGGUCGUGUCUCCGGAGGUGUCCAGACUUUGCAGACAGAUGUUGCACAUAAAGAGCUGAAAAACCGAGGAAGCUGAGCUGGAGAAGGAAGUCACUUCUACUCCGCCUUGACCUGCGUCUGAUGCUAUGGGGCCUCUUAGGGUUACCUCAUGCUUCACGCACCCCUUUCUCUGUUCCUCAGCAGAAAGCAGGGUGUAGGGAAGCGGGUCUGUGCCUCCUUUCUCCCUGCCAGGCCUGACUCUCCAGGCCGAGCGACACCAUUAAGGAGUAUAAUUUGUUGAUCCAGGCUCUCCUUGCUUUUCAGUGCAGAGUGGCAUCGUUUUCUUUAUGACCUCGUAAAGUCACAGCCGAGAGGCCGAUUUGGAAAACAAACUGCCUCAGGUUGACAGAUAAUUAGAUACAGGGGACAUAUUAUAUGCCUUUGCAUAUAAAUGUGCUCUGAGGCGUGUUGGUUCAUCUGAAGUUGAGGUUAAAGGCGCGCCAGAGUUAAUCCUAAUAAAAAAUGAUUACAGAAGAGGAUGCCUCCACCCACAGGAAGGAGCCAGCACGGUGGGGAGCUGUUUGACCAGGGGAGUGUUCUCAGCAGCUGCCACACGUGGAGGUGUGGAACAGGAUCUUGGCGGUGGACUGCCACGGGAGCUCUGGGGAAAAAGGACCAGCUGGACUCCAGUACCUCCUGAGAGAUCACCACCCUCCCUGCCUCCAGCUCAUGCCCAGCUCUGAGUCAAACAGACUCUUCCUGUUACACUGCGAGGCUGUGCAAACCUUAAAGGGCAAACACAGUGAGGGUCUCUGACUUGCUGUGUGGACAGCCCACUCUCUGACAGCCCAGAUCAUCUGAAGCUAUCCCUGGGCUGGGAGCUGGAAGCCAUUCUUGUGAACCACUCCUUAUACCUUGAGCUAAGCCUCUUUGGGUCCCAGAAGUCUGAAGCUCCAGCUGCCUGGCAAGACUGAGUCUAGAUGAUUUCUUGAGGACCAGUAGUUUGGCAUUUAAAAAUACUGGAUUAACUGCAGUGUAAACUUAGAUUGCAUUUCAGAUUGUAAACAAUGACCCCAGUGCUUCAUGUGACGUUAAAUCAGAAAUGAGCUGUUAGCCAAGCUAGUCCUCUUAUGAAUGAGCCCCUAACCCUGAUCCAGGGAUCGUUGAACGAAAAUCAUCAAAAUGAUUUAUCUUCACUUUA